UGCUAUUGAAAAAAAAAUACAGAACUCUUAGCUAUUUUGCAUGGUAUUUGGAUUGUAUGGCUCAAAUGGUAUAAUUUCAAAUUGGUUAUGCAAGGGAACUGUGUUUACUCAGACUCGGGUGCAUAUCCGACAUGGGUAUAAUCAGUUUUUCAAAGUUUUUCCAUGUAUUUGAAGGAUUCUUGGAGGCCAUAUCCUCAUUUGUGUGUGUUGGACAGAGUACCUUAUGAAAAAUGAAUAGUCCGAGCAACGAUUACCUAUUUGCCACUUUAUGCAUAAAAGUCAUGUUUAAUACAAUAUGGGAAAACCAUGAUUCAACAUUAAAUAACUCUUAAAUUGAAGAUAAAAUGAUUGGAUGAUUCCAUUUUUUUUCAAUAUAUUUCCCAAAGUAAAUCAAGAACGAUGGUUUGAUGUUUAUUAAGGGUCAAUUGAGAACAACAAAGAGCUGCAGUGAUGAACCCUGAAAUAAUUGAUCUUUCUUACAUGAAAAUUAGCUUCUGUUUAAUCAAAAGGAACAACAAAGCUGCAAAAAUGCCAUUGGCUAGGCCUAGUUAUGGAACUCAAACAACACUAAAAGAUCACUUAAGCAAGUUUCCACACAAUAAUUUCUCAAAGAAUAAAAAACAACACAAAAUCCCACCACAACAGUAUGAAAAUCAAGGAAACAUAAAAAGAAAAAACAGUAGAUUGAUUGAAUAAGUAACAAAUGGAAAGGAUUGAACUUUGCCCCAUUGUACCUCUCACUCGGUAAGUAGCUGAAAAGGGUUGAAAGGGUUGAGCUGGAGACCUAAAGAUUGAAGCAUUUGCAGCCAUUUUUUCCCUCACAGUUUCUCUGCAAUUGUUUUUAACUUCUUAGAGAACUAAUAGCCUCUUUUUUUUUCUGAAUAGUGAAAAAAGAGGAGAACUUUGGGUUUUUAGAUAAGGAGAAUGAAGUGAAGAAAUAUAUGAAGAGUGGAAAAAAGAAAAAAAGAAAAACUGAAAAAUAAUAUCUAAUCCAUGAAAAUGACACAAGCAGAUUAUUUUAGAAAAUUAAAGGGCUAAAACAAAAGGGUAACACAAAAAUAUCUUUGAUUUUAUUUGAUUUCAUAUCUCAAAUCUCUUGUAAUCAAACACAGCAGCACCUUAUCACCUCAUCUCUCUCUUUGUCCUUUUCUCCUUGCCAUUUUUUCUUUCUACAAUCCACACUCUUUUUCUUUUUUUUCCCACAGUAAAACCCAGUUUUUCUUUAGAACCCCAUUAUCAUUUUAAUCACACCAUCGUUGUCAAAGUUCAAAAUUUUUAUGAUUUUCACCUUUUCAAACUGCAAUAAUAAUAAAAACUUGAUCUUGCUCUUGCAAAGUUAUGAACUUUGGCAUUCAAGUUUUAUUAAAUCAAUUGAAAGGGGUUGGCUUUUGGACUAAUGGGGGUGUCAAUUAGAACAAAAGAACAUUGUGAUGAAAGCUUGGGAGGCUGCAAUAUUUGGCAAUGGUAAUUCAAAACAUGGUGCCAAUGCAUUGGCAACCAAGCUCCAAUUGUUGAUCCUAAAUACCAUUGGAGUCAGUCUUUUGUGUAUGGUUCCUAGUCUUGUUGAUUGGGCUGCCCACCUUCUCUCUUCAAGUCUGUGUUCUUGUAAGCCUUCUUUUUUAGUAAUGGAAUUUUGCUUAUGCCCCCGACUCCACAAUUCAAUUAAAUCGAGGUCUUCGGCCGGGGAGUUUUCGGUUUGGAUGUGAGAUUUAUGCAUGAUAUAGUUGAUUAAGUUGUACAAUUUAAAAUAUUUGUUUAAUAUUUAGUAAUUUUAUUUAUAUAUCUUUUACUAUUAUUGUAAAUUUCUUUUAUUAAAUUUCUAAAGGUAACAACUUAAAAGUAUUUUUUAAUAUUUAUAUUAUAAUAUAUUUAAUUUUCAUAGGAUAUAAAUUACGACUUAUAUAUCAAAAAAGUCUUUAAGAAAAUUUUAAAAAAUAAAUUAAACUUCUGUUUUAAAUUCGCACGCAAUUUAGUCUCUACUGUUAAUUAAAAUAAUCAAUUAAGUCCUUUAGUUAAUAGUUUCCGUCAUUGACCAUGUUGACCGUUAAAAUAAAUUGAUGUAUCAAUCAAAUGGUGACACAUGAUAUCUUUUGGUUUAAUUUAAUAUUUCCCUAUAAAAUGACUAAAAAGUCAUAAAAAGUUAUAAAAAUUAUAAAAAAUUAAAUAUUAGAAAAACAUUAAAAAUAUUAAAAUUGAUAUUGACUUAUUAAACUUAUAAAAUAUAAAAAAAUUAUAAAAAUUAUAAUAAAUCUAAUAAACUAUAAAAAAUUAUGGAACUAAUAAAACUUAUUUAAAAUAUUUAAAAUUAACAAAAUGUAUUAGAGUUCUUAAAAUAAUAAAAAAUGUAAAAAAAAUAUUAAAAUUGGUAUAAACUUAUAAAACUUAUUUAAAAAUCAUAAAAACUUGAAUUGGACCGGUUAGCAUGAAAUCGACAAGGGUACCGAUUCAGGAAAUGCCGUUAGACCGAUUGACUUGGGAAUUGGGUGGUUGAACCAAUUUUUUUUAUUUUUUUUAAUGUUUUUAUCAAAUCAAAAUUUUAUUAUUCACCUAUUAGCAUAUGUUAGAAUCAAACAUUCUGACUAAGAUUUUUAAAACCGAACCGAUGGUUUAACUGAUUAGGCCAUGGGUUUACCAGUUCGACUAAUUCAUCCAGUUCAAUUAAAUAAAAUAUUAAAAAUUAAAAAAAAUUAAAAUCGGUUUCAAGUUUUAAGUUAACAACUUAACCAAAUAGGCAUCUAUUUGAACAAUUAUGUCAGAAUAAAUAUUUGUGUCCGAAUUCUAUUUUUUUCUAAUAGACAUACUUGUUUGGAUGAUAUAUGCAUCUGUAUAUGAGAUGUUCAAGAGUCGAGUUAUCUGUUCAAGCAUGAAAUUUCAUUUGAAAAUGGGAAGAGUUUAGACAAAAAUAUUAAGCAUAAGAAAUUAAGUCCAUUUAAAAUAUGGGUCUGACCUUGAAAUAGCUUGACCCACUUUUAAAUAUUGUAAUAUUUAAGUUUAAUAUAUCAUGUAAUGACAAUUAUCGGUAAGUAAAUAUAAUAAUAUAAAUAUUAUAAAAACAUGCUAAGUUAUUGGCUAUAUUUUAAGUUUUAAUAAAAGAAUAUAUAAAAUUAUUAAAAAUUUAUUUCGAGUCAGAUCGGACUUAAACACACCUGAAUACCAAUUCAAGUACCUAUUUGAACACUAAAAUCAAAUUUAAGUACCAAACAUUAUAAUAAACCAUAUACAUAAACAAUAGAUAAUAUGACGAAUAUAGAGAGCAAUGAGUGCUCUCAAUUAUUAAAAAUGGAAGUUAUGGCUGGGAUGACCUCAUGGGUUUUGAAACCAAUUAAAAACUUAAGCAAUGGAAUAAUAAAAAGACAUGAUUUCAACUUUAUAGGACUCACUCUCCCCAACAUUUGGAAUUUCUAAGCCAAUAAAGACACAAACAAUAUUCAUUAAAAAAAACAUUGGUUUCUUUUUCAUCCAAUAAGGACUGAAAUGCAAUUUUAAUUUAGUUAAACAAUUUGAUUACAAAGUUAGUAAAACUUUAAUGUAUUGAAAUCUCCGAGUCCGGUGUUAUGAGUCAGUUCAACAUUAAAUUGAUUAAAAAGAUUAUUUUAUAUUUGAUUUUUAAUGGAAUAAUAUAAUCAAAAAAAUGAUGUUUUUUACCUUUCUUAUAUGAAAUACUUAAUUACAUAAAACAAAUGAAAAACAUAAUGUGUAAAAAUUUAUAGUAUAUAUAAAUAUAUUUAUUUUGCCGAUUGAAUCUUAACUCGAUUGGCAUGGAUAUUGUUAUCAAUGUAGGAGGACAUGGGUUCGAGUGCACUAAAACGUAUUAUGGGUAAUUCUAAACACGACCGAAAACCAUAAAAAAAAAAGGAAUUUAAAGAUGGUUUUAGUAGUUCAGGCUACGUUAAAUGGCAUUGGUAGAAACACCUUCAAAAAGUGCUUCCUUUAAACAAAAGUUUUUGGGGGUUCAUUAUUCAGUAAUCUGUAGACCAAAGCAUGCUUUCUUUAUUACCUUUAGUCUCACUAGAAACGACACGAUUGCCAAUUUUACGCAUGCAAACGCUGCUUAAUUAACAUUUUAAAUACUACAUUAAAAGCUAAAAACAUGUUUUGUUUCUCGAGUUCACUAACAGUCUUUCUUUUUUUUCUUAAAAAACACUUUUCAUGUUGAUGUGGUUAUUUUUAUUACAUUGAAAUUCAUGUCAAUUAUUACAUUUAACACAAAUUAACAAGCAUAUUAUUGUCAUUUUAGCAAACCCUUUUUAAUAAAUAUAUAUUUUUUCGAAUGGUUAAGUGUUGAUGUUGUUGCUAAAAAUGUCAAUUAUUCGAUUGCCAAUGUAGGAGAAUGUGGGUUCGAGUGCGCUGAAGCGCAUUAUCCUCUUAUUUAUAGGUUGGGAUACACAUAGUUUAUACCCUUUUUAAGCUUAGAUAAUGUAGACUCUAUAUAGGUAAUAUUAAAAAGUAUAUACAUAAUUAGUAUAUUGCAAAAAACUAAGAGUUAAUUAUGAGAGAAAACAGAAGCAUUUGCUUACGUCAAAAGAAAAGCAUGGUUUUGAAGUGAGCAUGCAAUGAAUGAAUGUCUGAGUGUAAGCAAAAGAAUGCAUGCAUAUGCUUUAUUCCUCCAAUCAAAACUAUGAAUAAAAUAAUGGUUAAACCCAUAUCAUAUACCUGACUUUGAGACUGCUAUCAUUCAUUCCUCGACCACAUUUUUAAUAAUAUUUUCAAUAAAUUACUCACUUCAUCUUCUCCCAAUGUCAAUGUGUUUCUCUCUUUGUUCUUUUCACCCCCACAGUCUCUCUAUUUUAUAAGACAGUGUCACCUUUUUCUUUAUUUGAGCUUUUAAUUAUCACUAAUACAAACAAAAAAAAGGAGAAGUAAAAUGGAGUAUUAGUCUUUGAUUAGUCAAGCAACUCCUUUUGAGCUAUCUAUGCAAAAGAUAAUCCAAGUUUUCAGAUUUCAGGGGUUUUAUAUAUUAUAUAUAUAUAUUUCUAAUUAAAAAUGUGAUAAGGGUGUGUAGUAUUUUCCUUUCUUACAUUUAAAAGAUUAGAAGUUGAGCUAUCCAUUCAGAUUGAGACUCGGUUUAUACGAGUCGAGCUUUGAAUAAUAUAUUUUCGAAUUUAGGUGAAUUCAGUUUAUGACGAAAUUUGAAUUGUUGAUUAGGCUCAGAAUCGAUCUAUUUUGAACAGAGCGAUUAUUUUUGAAAAGUAGAUGCAAGAUGGGAUAUUGGGGUGAUUUUUUUCUUAUACAGUGAGUAUAGAGUGGUUUAUGAUAGUUUCUUAACCUACUUCGUCCUGUCCCAUUAUAUGAAAUUAUAUUUGUAAAAUUAUAAUGACGUGUUAUGGAAAAAUCUAUAUGUUUUAUUUUUAAUAUUUUAAAAAAUUAGGUUUACUUGAAAAAGUUGAAAAUAGUAGAAAUAGUUAAUAAAAAGUAAACUAAAAUGGAGCGUGACAGGAUAAAGAUGGAUGCAUCUGAUUGUAUUUUCAAGAUUAUACAUACAUAGAGAAACAAAAGAGUGGAAAAGUAGAGUACACCGACUAUAGAAUGGUGGUGAAUUUGACCAUAUCUACAUCCAUUCUACUUUAUUGCCAUCCUUAAUCUGAAUAGGGAUGGAACUAAAAUAAACUGAUAAAAGGAGAGUUGUGUACUUAUUCAGUAAAAAUAAAAAGUUAAACUUUAACUGGAAAUUAAAGGUGAAGUUAAUGUAAUAAAAUUUGAUUAAAUUGAUGGUCCCAUAUAAAGGGAAAGAAUCACACCUAUAUUUUAGUGCUUGCAUUAUUGAGUUAUAAACCCACACUAAAUUGGUUCCAAAUAUUUACUCAUUACCAUCCACUCUCUUCAAAAAGUCUAAUCAUCAUCAUCUACCACACCAUAUUGAUAUACAUAAAAAAAAAAAAAACCAAUAGAAAAUUCAAAGCACUACCCAUUUCGCCACGUGUCCUCCUAUUCAAUCUGUCACAGUUUACCCCUUGUUUAGCGGGCGCUUCCUGUUGUAUUUUUAACCUUCUCUCCCAUGCUUCAAUGCAGAUUGUAAAUUAUUAUCCGACUGUAAACCUCAAACCAUUUUCUCGAGAAAAGGGAGAGAUAAAAAGAAAUGUCAAAAGUGAAGCAGCAGAAACCACUGUGUGUGUGGGUGUGUGUUUGUUUUGGCUGCAUGUGUGAAAAAAGUAAAUAAAUUUAUGUGGGUGUAGGUGAAAAAAG
rnacentral:lncRNA from 1 species